rnacentral:pre_miRNA from 1 species
UUAGCUGAUUGGAAUAAAUGUGUUUGAGUCAUGUCAGCUGAUUCAAAGACAUUUAUUCCAAUCAGCUGACAUGACUCAAACACAUUUAUUCCAAUCAGCU